AUACUUCUCGCAGGAUAAGAUUCUACUGGUCCCUACAAUAGUUGCAAGUGGUUAUACGCAAAUCUGAUUGGAGAAUCUGAUUGUUUGGAGGGUCACAGUGGACUUUGUUUCAGUUUCAUCCCCAUCACCUCUCAGAGAUCACCAAGAUUUCACCCGUUCAGAUGGCUUGUAUUGCGCUAAAAUGUGCUAUAGCUAAUGGGAGAGGCAAAGUGGUUUAGCAGCUGGAGAUGAGAGGAAGCCACCCCCUUGUGACCAGCCGGCCGUUCACAGACUGCCAGCCAGCAGUCUGCAGAAUAGAAGUUGUCCGUGGACCAGGGUUUGAGAAUCGCUGUGCAUGAAAAUCUGAAGGGGUCUUUCCAGCUUUUCUUCAGAAUGUGAUGACUAUUCUUCCAGACUGGGAGGAGUGGCCCUCGCUCCCUCCAGAAACCAUCAAGCCUGCUCUUGAAUCCACCAGAGAGAUUGUUGCAAAGUGCUAUGAGUUGCUCCCUCCCUAGGUUGAGG